rnacentral:rRNA from 1 species
CGGAGCUUGCUCCACCGGAAAAAGAAGAGUGGCGAACGGGUGAGUAACACGUGGGUAACCUGCCCAUCAGAAGGGGAUAACACUUGGAAACAGGUGCUAAUACCGUAUAACAAUCGAAACCGCAUGGUUUUGAUUUGAAAGGCGCUUUCGGGUGUCGCUGAUGGAUGGACCCGCGGUGCAUUAGCUAGUUGGUGAGGUAACGGCUCACCAAGGCCACGAUGCAUAGCCGACCUGAGAGGGUGAUCGGCCACAUUGGGACUGAGACACGGCCCAAACUCCUACGGGAGGCAGCAGUAGGGAAUCUUCGGCAAUGGACGAAAGUCUGACCGAGCAACGCCGCGUGAGUGAAGAAGGUUUUCGGAUCGUAAAACUCUGUUGUUAGAGAAGAACAAGGAUGAGAGUAACUGUUCAUCCCUUGACGGUAUCUAACCAGAAAGCCACGGCUAACUACGUGCCAGCAGCCGCGGUAAUACGUAGGUGGCAAGCGUUGUCCGGAUUUAUUGGGCGUAAAGCGAGCGCAGGCGGUUUCUUAAGUCUGAUGUGAAAGCCCCCGGCUCAACCGGGGAGGGUCAUUGGAAACUGGGAGACUUGAGUGCAGAAGAGGAGAGUGGAAUUCCAUGUGUAGCGGUGAAAUGCGUAGAUAUAUGGAGGAACACCAGUGGCGAAGGCGGCUCUCUGGUCUGUAACUGACGCUGAGGCUCGAAAGCGUGGGGAGCAAACAGGAUUAGAUACCCUGGUAGUCCACGCCGUAAACGAUGAGUGCUAAGUGUUGGAGGGUUUCCGCCCUUCAGUGCUGCAGCUAACGCAUUAAGCACUCCGCCUGGGGAGUACGACCGCAAGGUUGAAACUCAAAGGAAUUGACGGGGGCCCGCACAAGCGGUGGAGCAUGUGGUUUAAUUCGAAGCAACGCGAAGAACCUUACCAGGUCUUGACAUCCUUUGACCACUCUAGAGAUAGAGCUUCCCCUUCGGGGGCAAAGUGACAGGUGGUGCAUGGUUGUCGUCAGCUCGUGUCGUGAGAUGUUGGGUUAAGUCCCGCAACGAGCGCAACCCUUAUUGUUAGUUGCCAUCAUUCAGUUGGGCACUCUAGCAAGACUGCCGGUGACAAACCGGAGGAAGGUGGGGAUGACGUCAAAUCAUCAUGCCCCUUAUGACCUGGGCUACACACGUGCUACAAUGGGAAGUACAACGAGUCGCGAAGUCGCGAGGCUAAGCUAAUCUCUUAAAGCUUCUCUCAGUUCGGAUUGUAGGCUGCAACUCGCCUACAUGAAGCCGGAAUCGCUAGUAAUCGCGGAUCAGCACGCCGCGGUGAAUACGUUCCCGGGCCUUGUACACACCGCCCGUCACACCACGAGAGUUUGUAACACCCGAAGUCGGUGAGGUAACCUUUGGAGCCAGCCG